GCCUCCUUAGCUCAGUUGGUUAGAGCACCCGACUCAUAAUCGGUAGGUCCUGUGUUCAAGUCACAGAGGAGGCACCA
rnacentral:tRNA from 20 species